AAUGAACGCUAGCGGGAGGCCUAACACAUGCAAGCCGAGCGGGAUUUGAGACUAGCUUGCUAGUCUUAAUGAGAGCGGCGUACGGGUGCGGAACACGUGUGCAACCUGCCUUUAUCUGGGAGAUAGCCUUUCGAAAGGAAGAUUAAUAUCCCAUAAUAUAAUGAUUGGCAUCAAUUAUUAUUGAAAGCUCCGGCGGAUAGAGAUGGGCACGCGCAAGAUUAGAUAGUUGGUGAGGUAACGGCUCACCAAGUCGAUGAUCUUUAGGGGGCCUGAGAGGGUGAUCCCCCACACUGGUACUGAGACACGGACCAGACUCCUACGGGAGGCAGCAGUGAGGAAUAUUGGACAAUGGGUGAAAGCCUGAUCCAGCCAUCCCGCGUGAAGGAUUAAGGACCUAUGGUUUGUAGACUUCUUUUCUACAGGGAUAAACCUACUCUCGUGAGAGUAGCUGAAGGUACUGUAGGAAUAAGUACCGGCUAACUCCGUGCCAGCAGCCGCCGUAAUAC
rnacentral:rRNA from 1 species